AUACGUAGGGGGCGAGCGUUGUCCGGAAUGAUUGGGCGUAAAGGGCGCGUAGGCGGCCCGGUAAGUCUGGAGUGAAAGUCCUGUUUUUAAGAUGGGAAUUGCUUUGGAUACUGUCGGGCUUGAGUGCAGGAGAGGUAAGUGGAAUUCCCAGUGUAGCGGUGAAAUGCGUAGAGAUUGGGAGGAACACCAGUGGCGAAGGCGGGUAACUGGACUGCAACUGACGCUGAGGCGCGAAAGUGUGGGGAGCAAACAGGAUUAGAUACCCUGGUAGUCCACACUGUAAACGAUGAAUGCUAGGUGUAGGGGGUAUCGACCCCUUCUGUGCCGCAGUCAACACAAUAAGCAUUCCGCCUGGGGAGUACGGCCGCAAGGUUGAAACUCAAAGGAAUUGACGGGG
rnacentral:rRNA from 1 species